rnacentral:rRNA from 1 species
UACGUAGGAGGCGAGCGUUGUCCGGAAUCAUUGGGCGUAAAGGGCGCGUAGGUGGCCUGCUAAGCGUGCGGUGAAAGCUCGGGGCUCAACCCCGAGUCGGCCGUGCGAACUGGUGGGCUUGAGCACUGUAGAGGCAGGCGGAAUUCCGGGUGUAGCGGUGGAAUGCGUAGAGAUCCGGAAGAACACCGGUGGCGAAGGCGGCCUGCUGGGCAGUAGCUGACACUGAGGCGCGACAGCGUGGGGAGCAAACAG